rnacentral:rRNA from 1 species
GAACGCUUUUGUAGCAAUACAAGAGAGUGGCGGACGGGUGAGGAACACGUGGGUUAUCUACCUUGAGGUGAGGAAUACCGGCGAGAAAUCGCCGACAAUACCGCAUACGUUUGGAAACAAACAAAGCUCGCGGCAACGCGGGCGCCACAAGAUGAGCCUGCGGCCGAUUAGCUAGCUGGUGGGGUAAAGGCCUACCAGGGCGACGAUCGGUAGCUGGUCUGAGAGGACGAUCAGCCACACUGGGAUUGAGAACGGCCCAGACUCCUACGGGGGGCAGCAGUGAGGAAUUUUCGUCAAUGGGGGAAACCCUGAACGAGCAACGCCGCGUGCAGGAAGAAGGUUUUCGGAUCGUAAACUGCUUUUCUCGGGGAAGAGAAUGGACGGUACCCGGGGAAGAAGCCCCGGCUAACUACGUG